UGCAGCCACCCUGGAAAACAGUGUGGAGGCUCCUUAAAAAAUUAAAAACAAAUUACCCUAUGACCCAGCCAUAGCACUACUAGGAAUUCCUCCAAAGGAUACAGGAUUGUUGAUUUAUAGGGGCACAUGUACCCCAAUAUUUAUAGCAGUGCUAUCAACAGUAGCCAAAUUAUGGAAAGAGC